AUGAAUGAGUUCUGUGGGAUGGAGCAGCAAGAAUCCAUCGACAUGGCAGCUGCAUGGGAGGCUCUCUGCCCCUUGCUGAAGCUGAAUAACCUGCGGAGAACCAUCCACCAGGCGGAGGCUUUCACGUCGGGGAUCAUAUUCCUGCUGCUCCUGCAGCUCCUCCUCGGUUCCUUCAGACGACAGUCGGCCAGCUUCUUGGUCCAAGCUGGUACGUGGGUGACCUACACUCUGUCCUUCCCGGCCAUCGCCUACACCCUGGGCUUGAUGCAGUCCUCUCUGGUGAAGAAUGUCAUGUGCCCCAUCUGGGCUGUCUCAUUGCUGAUGGCCGCUGGGUGCACCAACGCCGUCAAGGUCUACGAGCUCAACGACAACCGGCAAUGGAAGCGAACCUUUUUCAAUUUUUACCAGUAUGCCUUCUAUGCUUCGUUUAUCUGGCUGCUAUUAUUUCCCUGUAGCAUGAACAUGAAAGAGUGUCUCUACCAAUUAUACCACAAUUUUUCACCGUCGACCUACUUUGCACCUUUCAAGACUCCUGGAGGUGUUGUCUAUCUUCUGGGUAUCUUUGCUGUGUCUACGGGUCUCAUGGGUAGAGAGCUCGCAUGCGUGUUGGUUGAGUUCGGCUAUCUCAGAGCCAGAAGAGUUGUCAAGUUCAUGAAGAACCUGCCUGCUAAUGAUGGUGAUGGGUUCGACCCUGCCACCAUGAAAGGCUACAAGUACCCUGUUCACAUUUUUGGAUUUGGUGAUGACGUCACCAUUGACCAGAUCUGGCACUGUGAAGGUAGACUCCUCAGCUCAGGUACGGAUCACUGCAAUGAGCUCAAGGAUUCAUGCCUGGCUUAUGCCAUGUUUCAGCUACUGAAGCGGCGCUACUACGGGAUGUCAUUCGCCGAGGAACACCGUGACGAAACCCGUGAUUUUGCCUUCAAGGGAUUGCUACAGAAAGAAGAUGACUAUGAGAGAGCUUUCCGUAUUGUUGAAAUGGAGUUGGGAUUCUGCCAUGACUACUUUUUCACUAAAUAUGCCAUCAUCUUUGAGCUAGAGGCAGCAUUCUUCUUUCUCUUCAUUGUGAGGAUUGUUCUCAUUGCCACAUGUCUAUCCUUUGUCGCGAAGAGUACACUAUCUGUCAGGACAAUCAGCCCUAUCAUUGAAGUGCACACCAAAAAGAUUGACGGCACCAUCACUCUUCUUGUUUUGGCCACAUUCCUGCUCAUAGAAUUUGUUCAAGUUGCAUUUUAUUUGGCCUCAGAUUGGUGCAAGGUGUCUGUUACUUGUAGGUAUGUCAAAAGAUCUUGUUAUCAGCGCAGUGCUUUCAUCGAGAAGCUUAUCGGCUAUAUUAGCAGAUUUACAAUAUUCGGGUACUGGAAGAAUAAGAUUGGCCAGUACUCGAUAAUUCCGCACAUCACCGCCGCUGAUUUUUCUAGGGACAGUCACCCAGUAAACAUGUUGCAAACAGUCAAGCGGGCUAUUGCAAGGUCCCUAAUAGCAUGUGACGGUCCACCAACUAAUGGGGAAGGGUCACUACUGAGAAAUGGUGUGUAUGCAGAGUUCUCUUGGGCUUUGCAGGGUCGAUCUCAAGCAGAGAUAAUGUUAGUUUGGAACAUCGCCACUGAUUACUGCAAUAUGACUCCCGCUACCGGAGACGGGGAGCACGUGAGUGGGGCAUCUGAAAAUGAACAAGACACAAAGUUCAACAGGAAUGUUUCAGUCAGCCUGUCAAGAUAUUGUGCAUACUUGAUGAACUCUGCCCCUGAAUUACUUCCAGGAUACUUUGGAGAUACAAAGUUGGCCAUGGUUGAUGUACAUUGCGAAGCAAAAGAAGUUCUAAGAUCCCGGAGUGUUUCUUCCGGCCGAAAUAUUUACCAGGCUAUGAAUGGUUUACAAGACCAAGAGGAACAAGACAUGAGCAUCUUCAUGAGAGGUGUGAAGCUUGGAAAGCAGCUAGAGCUCAUGCCGAGCAGUGCUGUUCGUUGCAAGAUACUCGCGGAUUUCUGGGCUGAGAAGAUCCUCUACAUCGCACCAUCUGAUAAUGUGAAAGGGCACAUGGAACUUCUCGCAAAAGGAGGGGAGCUUCUCACCCACAUCUGGGUCCUCCUUACUCAUGCCGGCAUCCUCAAGAUUAACAGGGAGGAAGAUAACAACGCUGUGCCCAGGCGCCAGCCAUCAUCCCGAGAAGAUGUGUAG
rnacentral:rRNA from 1 species